rnacentral:rRNA from 1 species
UACGAAGGGGGGCUAGCGUUGCUCGGAAUCACUGGGCGUAAAGCGCACGUAGGCGGAUUUCUAAGUCAGGGGGUGAAAUCCUGGAGCUCAACUCCAGAACUGCCUUUGAUACUGGGAAUCUCGAGUCCGGGAGAGGUGAGUGGAACUGCGAGUGUAGAGGUGAAAUUCGUAGAUAUUCGCAAGAACACCAGUGGCGAAGGCGGCUCACUGGCCCGGUACUGACGCUGAGGUGCGAAAGCGUGGGGAGCAAACAGG